CUUAUAUUGAAAUCCUCCACUGCCACCCUUUCUACUCAAGCAACAUCUGUGUGAAAAGAUCCGCUGGAAGGAACUGACAGCUUACGGUUCUCCAUUGUGAUGAAAGCACAUGCUACAGUCAGCAAGAAACAACUAUAUGCUAAGCAAUUUUGAGGAAGAAGAUCUCUUCAGAUUAAAUGAGAAUUUUCCAAAGAAAUUAGACCAUUUUCUUGGUGAAAAGAAACCAACCUGCUGUUCCCAUAGGGUGUUUCUCACUUCUCUGUGAAAGGAAGAAAGAACACGCCUGAGUCCACAAGCCCUCCAGCUUCUGUGGGAAGUCUCCAUGGUGAAGUAUAGGCUGAGGCUACCUGUGAACAGUGCGCAGUGAAUGUUGUAAGUUAACCACCACGCGCAACAUCUGCAGUGGCUUGCCUUGUCAGGAUUUGCGAAUCGCUGGAUGUAACUGAGCCAGGGUGAUGAAGGAUUAUUAGCAUGAGCUCUAGGUGAUCAUCCAAUUAAUUUCUUUUUUUAGGGGAAAACGUUCUGUUUGUAUUUGCUGUGAACUUGCCUUUCUCUCAGCUUCUGUGGCGUGCUGCUCAGUAUCUACUUCUGGAAUAAAAGAGUGGAAUAUAAUGAUUCUUUCAUGG